rnacentral:tRNA from 1 species
AAUCUCCUAAAAAGUAGC